GCCAAACGGUGCCGCCCCUGACGGUCAGGCUGCACACACAGAGCGUGUCGGAGUGCAUCACGGAGGACGGCAGGACUGUGGCCGUGGGGGACAUCGUCUGGGGUAAGAUCCAUGGUUUUCCUUGGUGGCCGGCGCGUGUUCUUGACAUCAGUCUCGGCCAGAAGGAGGACGGAGAGCCGUCUUGGCGAGAAGCGAAGGUCUCGUGGUUUGGUUCUCCGACUACGUCGUUCUUGUCUAUUUCAAAACUCUCCCCUUUCUCUGAAUUUUUCAAACUGAGAUUUAAUCGUAAGAAGAAGGGGAUGUAUCGGAAAGCUAUAACCGAGGCUGCAAAUGCCGCAAGACACGUGGCCCCGGAAAUCAGGGAGCUCUUAACCCAGUUUGAAACGUAACUGGUUCCCUGACCAGGUCACCGACGAUGAGGGCGCACCUGCUGUCCUGGAGCUUCCGAUCUCUGUUCGGGGACCCUGUGAGCCUUCUGGCCGGCUGCGUGCAGAGCCCACUGGGCACGGUGGUCGGCCUGGUGUGAGGCCCCCCGGGGACCGGCAGUGUGUCCAGGGAGGGGAUGGCCCUGAGCCCAGCGGCUCCUCCCGCUGAGUGUAUUUCUUCCCACCACUCAGCGCAUGGCUGCCCUGGCUCACGAGGCAGUCGGGACUCGUGACUUGCUGGCUGCUGGCUGCUGCUGCCUCGCGCGCUGGGGUUCCAUGGAGGAACUGGGCCUGCCGCCCCGGCCUCACCUGCUGCCCGCAUGCUGGGGUCCCAUGGAGGAACCAGGCCUGGCGCCCCGGCCUCGCCCAGCGGCUGGUGUGGGCAGCUGUUCCCUGCCUCGCAGUGUCCUGGAGGCAGCUGUCUCGCAGACUCAGCUUGGUCUCCCGCAGGCUUCAGAAAAACCCAAUUGCACGUGUGGGAUUCUUCCCCAGCCCUUGGGUGCGGGGUCUCUGUGCACUUGAGAGCUGGGGGACCCACCCACCGUCUCCCACUCCAAGUUCAUCCCAGAGCGUGGGGCCCGCUGGGCACCUGGCACCUGGCCUGCAGAUGCUGCUACGAGUGACCAGUGCUGUGUGGAGGAGGCCAAGGGCGGCCCCUGGGAAACCGGGCUUCAACAGUACAAGGAAAAGAAACUUGCUCUGUUUUGUAAGAGCGUGUUCCUUUUCCUCUUUUUUGUCACUUUAAAGACCAAAAAGAAUAAAGAAAGAAAAGAAAAAAAUU
rnacentral:lncRNA from 1 species